rnacentral:rRNA from 1 species
CCCUUAGAUGUCCUGGGCCGCACGCGCGCUACACUGAUGCAUGCAACGAGUAUAUAACCUUGGCCUGAAAGGCCUGGGUAAUCUUUUGAACGUGCAUCGUGAUAGGGAUAGAUUAUUGCAAUUAUUAAUCUUGAACGAGGAAUUCCUAGUAAACGCGAGUCAUCAGCUCGCAUUGAUUACGUCCCUGCCCUUUGUACACACCGCCCGUCGCACCUACCGAUUGAAUGGUCCGGUGAAAUCUUCGGAUUGAGACUUUGUUUUCUUCACGGAAAACGCUGUUUUAAAAAGUUGAUUAAACCUUACCAUUUAGAGGAAGGUGAAGUCGUAACA